UGCCGUUCUGUGGGAGGUUUGUUCUUUUGCUCUUUGCAAUAACUUGCUGCUGCUUACUUUUUGGGUCCACACUGCUUUUAUGGGCUGUAACACUCACGACGAAGGUCUGCAGCUUCACUUCUGAAGCCAGCGAGACCACGAACCCACCGGGAGAGAACGAACAACUCCAGACGCACCGCCUUAAAAGCUGUAACACUCCCCGAGAGGGUCCGCGGCUUCAUUCUUGAAGUCAGUGAGACCAAGAACCCACCAAUUCCGGACACGAUAGUGCUGCCAAACCAGCCUGGAAAACGCGGCCUUCUGGACUUCUUGUACCGUGCGAAGUGGCAAGUACAUGGCUGAGAGCAGGGGGUCUGGUGCAGGGUGACCUAAUCCAGUCCUGAUGAUGCCGAUUUCUACACAAGCAACCACCUUUCUGUGCCUCUGUGUUUUCAUCUGCAAAAUGGGGACGGUGAUGUAGUAGUGC
rnacentral:lncRNA from 10 species